AACGAACGUUAGCGGCGCGCCUAACACAUGCAAGUCGCACGAGAAAGGGCUUCGGCCCCGGUAAAGUGGCGCACGGGUGAGUAACACGUGGGUAAUCUGCCUUCGAGCGGGGGAUAACGUUCCGAAAGGGACGCUAAUACCGCAUAAGACCACGACCUCGAAAGAGGAUGCGGUCAAAGCUGGCCUCUGUAUACACGCUAGCACUUGAAGAUGAGCCCGCGGCCCAUCAUGGUAGUUGGUAGGGUAAUGGCCGACCAAGCCGAAGACGGGUAACUGGUCUGAGAGGAUGAUCAGUCACACUGGAACUGAGACACGGUCCAGACUCCUACGGGAGGUAGCAGUGGGGAAUCUUGCGCAAUGGGGGAAACCCUGACGCAGCGACGCCGCGUGAGUGAUGAAGGCCUUCGGGUUGUAAAGCUCUGUGGGGAGAGACGAAUAAGUGUAGCCUAAUACGCUGCGCGAUGACGGUAUCUCCUUAGCAAGCACCGGCUAACUCUGUGCCAGCCGCCGCGGUAAAAC
rnacentral:rRNA from 1 species